rnacentral:rRNA from 1 species
AGCGGCGAACGGGUGAGUAACACGUGGGUGAUCUGCCCUGCACUCUGGGAUAAGCUUGGGAAACUGGGUCUAAUACCGGAUAUGACCACAUGCCGCAUGGUGUGUGGUGGAAAGAUUUAUCGGUGCAGGAUGGGCCCGCGGCCUAUCAGCUUGUUGGUGGGGUAAUGGCCUACCAAGGCGACGACGGGUAGCCGACCUGAGAGGGUGACCGGCCACACUGGGACUGAGACACGGCCCAGACUCCUACGGGAGGCAGCAGUGGGGAAUAUUGCACAAUGGGCGGAAGCCUGAUGCAGCGACGCCGCGUGAGGGAUGAAGGCCUUCGGGUUGUAAACCUCUUUCAGCAGGGACGAAGCGUGAGUGACGGUACCUGCAGAAGAAGCACCGGCUAACUACGUGCCAGCAGCCGCGGUAAU